rnacentral:lncRNA from 1 species
GUAAGUCCAAAAGAUACCUCAGAUGCUGCUACCAAAGUUGCUUCCAUAGUAACCUUGCUGAGAUCAAGAUUGGAAAAAAGCUGAAAAUCAAACUCCUACAGCUCAAGAAGCCAUAGUUAAAAGCCCCUUCUGAAGCCUCUGUAAUUUCAUCCCGAAAGGAAUAUGAAAUCUUAUAAUCUUCAAUAGCCCUCGAAAUGUGCUCCUUAUCUUUAUCGAGCUGCUUCUGAUA